GCCGGGCGUGGUGGUGGGCGCCUGUAGUCCCAGCUACUGAGGAGGCUGAGACAGGAGAAUCGCUUGAACCCGGGAGGCGGAGGUUGCAGUGAGCCAAGAUCGUGCCACUGCACUCCAGCCUGGGUGACAGAGCGAGACUCCGUCUCAA
rnacentral:sRNA from 1 species